CGCGAAACCUUUACACUGCACGACAGUGCGAUAGGGGAACUCCGAGUGCGAGGGCAUAGAGCCCUCGCUUUUCUGCACCGUAAGGUGGUGCGGGAACAAGUGCUGGGCAAGACCGGUGCCAGCCGCCGCGGUAAUACCGGCAGCACGAGUGAUGGCCGAUCUUAUUGGGCCUAAAGCGUCCGUAGCUGGCCGUGCAAGUCCGUCGGGAAAUCCAGUGGCUCAACCUCUGGGCUUCCGGCGGAAACUGCUCGGCUUGGGACCGGAAGACUCGAGGGGUACGUUCGGGGUAGGAGUGAAAUCCCGUAAUCCUGAACGGACCACCGAUGGCGAAAGCACCUCGAGAGCACGGAUCCGACAGUGAGGGACGAAAGCUAGGGUCUCGAACCGGAUUAGAUACCCGGGUAGUCCUAGCUGUUAACGAUGCCCGCUCGGUUCGGCGCAGGCUACGAGCCUGUGCCGCGCCUCAGUGAAGACGUAAGCGGGCCGCCUGGGAAGUACAUCCGCAAGGAUGAAACUUAAAGGAAUUGGCGGGGGAGCACUACAACCGGAGGAGCCUGCGGUUUAAUUG
rnacentral:rRNA from 1 species